UAGAUUGAAGCCAGUUGAUUAAGGCAGUUAGCUGUUAACUAAUGAUUUGUAGGUUUGAUUCCUAUCAAUCUAG
rnacentral:tRNA from 1 species